AGGAAUAUUGGUCAAUGGCCGAGAGGCUGAACCAGCCAAGUCGCGUGAAGGAAGAAGGAUCUAUGGUUUGUAAACUUCUUUUAUAGGGGAAUAAAGUGGAGGACGUGUCCUUUUUUGUAUGUACCCUAUGAAUAAGCAUCGGCUAACUCCGUGCCAGCAGCCGCGGUAAUACGGAGGAUGCGAGCGUUAUCCGGAUUUAUUGGGUUUAAAGGGUGCGUAGGUGGUGAUUUAAGUCAGCGGUGAAAGUUUGUGGCUCAACCAUAAAAUUGCCGUUGAAACUGGGUUACUUGAGUGUGUUUGAGGUAGGCGGAAUGCGUGGUGUAGCGGUGAAAUGCAUAGAUAUCACGCAGAACUCCGAUUGCGAAGGCAGCUUACUAAACCAUAACUGACACUGAAGCACGAAAGCGUGGGGAUCAAACAGGAUUAGAUACCCUGGUAGUCCACGCAGUAAACGAUGAUUACUAGGAGUUUGCGAUACAAUGUAAGCUCUACAGCGAAAGCGUUAAGUAAUCCACCUGGGGAGUACGCCGGCAACGGUGAAACUCAAAGGAAUUGACGGGGGCCCGCACAAGCGGAGGAACAUGUGGUUUAAUUCGAUGAUACGCGAGGAACCUUACCCGGGUUUGAACGUAGUCUGACCGGAGUGGAAACACUUUUUCUAGCAAUAGCAGAUUACGAGGUGCUGCAUGGUUGUCGUCAGCUCGUGCCGUGAGGUGUCGGCUUAAGUGCCAUAACGAGCGCAACCCUUAUCACUAGUUACUAACAGGUGAAGCUGAGGACUCUGGUGAGACUGCCAGCGUAAGCUGUGAGGAAGGUGGGGAUGACGUCAAAUCAGCACGGCCCUUACAUCCGGGGCGACACACGUGUUACAAUGGCAUGGACAAAGGGCAGCUACCUGGCGACAGGAUGCUAAUCUCCAAACCAUGUCUCAGUUCGGAUCGGAGUCUGCAACUCGACUCCGUGAAGCUGGAUUCGCUAGUAAUCGCGCAUCAGCCAUGGCGCGGUGAAUACGUUCCCG
rnacentral:rRNA from 1 species